UAUUCUGCUUCUGUUGGAUUAAAUCCCCUGAACUGUAUCUCUGCCUUGGUGUCUUGCGUUUGGGCUCUCACCUCCUCUGUGCUUACCUCCACGAAUCCUGACAAAUAACCAUGUAAACGUAAAGGAAAAAUCUCUCCAUUACUUGUGCCUCCAUGAAGAAAAGACCACCAAUUUGUUUGUUGUGUGUCCAGGAUUUCUCUCUUCUAUUAAUUGAAUCUCUUUCACUCUCCCCUUCCCUCAUAUGACCUUUGACCUUCAUUGUAUGAGAUGUUUUCUUCGCAGCCAACCUCUCAGCGUCGGGAUUCCUGUCAGAGGAAGGUUGAAACGUGGUAACCGACCCUCAGUAUUUACCCUGAGCAGGCUGCAGUGCCUCUCUCGACAAUGGAUGCAGAUAAAGGUGCCUCAGACUGGAACAACAUGAUGAUGUUGUUAUAAUACACACAGCAGCUCAGGAAAAGGGAUCAAUAAUCUGCCCAGGAGAUAAAGUAGUUGAAAUCAGCGUCACCUUUACCUGCUGCAACAUUAAAGAGAGGAACAUAUUAA